rnacentral:rRNA from 1 species
AUUGAACGCUGGCGGCAGGCCUAACACAUGCAAGUCGAACGAGUGGCGGACGGGUGAGUAAUGACUGGGACACUGCCAGAUGGAGGGGGAUAACUACUGGAAACGGUCGCUAAUACCGCAUACCAUCAGAUGUGCCCAGAUGGGAUUAGCUUGUUGGUGGGGUAACGGCUCACCAAGGCGAAGGUCCCUAGCUGGUCUGAGAGGAUGACAAGCGACCCUGGAACGGAGACACGGUCCAGACUCCUACGGAAGGCAGCGGUGGGGAAUAUUGCACAAUGGGAGCAAGCCUGAUGCAGCCAUGCCGCGUGUAUGAAGAAGGCCUUCGGGUUGUAAAGUACUUUCAGCGGGGAGGCGUUACCCGCAGAAGAAGGACCGGCUAACUCCGUGCCAGCCGCCGCGGUAAUAC